rnacentral:lncRNA from 1 species
UUAAAACCUUCACAUUCACACUCUUAUGGCCGGCCAAGCAAGGGAACAAAGAGAAAAAGAGAAGAACAAACCCUAAGAAGGAAAAAUUGAAGAGCAAUUGUUGGAUUUCAAGGAAUCAAGCAAGUAAAGGUAAGAUUUUUUAAUUUUAGCUUGUGAUCUACCUUUCCCAUGCAUUCUUUUUCAUUUUUCAUGGCUGAAAUUCAAGUUUUCAAGAGGGAACCUUUGCUGGCCAAAUCUAGAGAGAGAAGUUUUGGUGAUGAAUUUUGCUAGAUUUCAUAAUAUCCUAGUGUUUUUAGUCAUUUUGUGAUAUUUGGAAGGAAAAACAAGCAAGAAAAUCACAUGUUCUUCAACCACCCUCAUUUGGCUGAAUUUUCUAUAGGGCAUGUUGAUGAUGGAUUUGGUUGUAAUUCAUGUUAUUUAGCUAGGAAUUGAUGAAUUAUGAUGUUGGAUAUCGAAACCGGUUAUUGAAAAGUAUAGUUCCUUUAGAAAAUGGCUUGAGGGAAACUGAGAAAAUCAUAGUAAAUGGACUUGGGUUUGAUUCCUAAUGAUAUAUAUGGAUUUACGAGACUGUGUAGACAUUGAUUAGUAUGUUAGUUCAGAAUCAGAAUGAAUUUUGGAACAUGGUGAAGUUAGUCAAAAAUCAAGUUCAUUGUAAUGCUUUGGUGUAUUAGAUUAUUAGAAGUGUAAUGAAUAUAUUUAGAGUUGAAUCGGGUGUUUUAGUUAAAUUAAUGGUGUAUAGUUUGAAUUAGGUCGAAUACAAAUUCCUUCCGAUCACAAUUGAACCUACGUAGAACACCAUCUUUAAGUGACUAUCCGAACAUUUCUCAUUCAAUGCCAUGCACUCAUAUAAAGCCUGAAAUAGUUUUAUAACAGUUUGGCACAAAUAUAUUUAAUUACGUGUUGUGUAUUAUGUAUAGGUGGUGAGCCCUUUGAUAAGGGUAAAGAUAUUGUGCCCGAAGACCAAGAAUAGGAGUACUCUAAACUCCUGUUAUUGUGAGUAAUCAGACUUUCAUCUUAACUAUCUAAAGUAGUUUAUACUCGUUUUUAUGUUUUAAAGAAAAAUGAAUUUAAAUUUGCAAACUAUUAUGUUUUAUAAUUGAAGUGUUGAUUAAACGAAAUGAGAUUUAUAACUUGUUUUGAAAUUGAAUACUAGUUUUGGAAAUUGAGUAAGUGGAGACUGUAUACUUGUGUUAUAUAUAUGUUUUGACAUAUGGUUUGAAUUGAUGGCUUAUGACAAUGUGAUGGCAUGAAUGGCUGGAUUUGUGAUUUGUGGAUUAUAUGAACUGUUUUUGUUUUGCCUUGACAGGCUAGAUAAUAUUAUAUUAGCCAUGUCAUGCUGUCGAAAUGUUUAUUGAUUUGGUGGGUUAUUUGAUUAGCUUACUGCAAUGGGCGGGUUUCCGUGGACCAGCCUAUUAGAGGGGCACGGUAAACCCCGUUAUAUUUUACCUUAGUAUGAGAGGCGCGGAAGGUAUCUCCUAAGGUAAAGUUAGAGGUCACCUCACGUUGAACCACCACGUGAAGGUGAAACUUAGCCAACGCCAAGUAACGACUGUGCUUUUAAAUAUAAAAAUGAGUUUUAUACUUAUAUGUUAUUUUAACAGCCUUGGAGGACUC